CAGAUUGUCUGGCAAUGGAAUGAUAGCGACAAUGACAAUCAUCCCUACACAGUGAGCAACCAGACAUACAACAGGUUUUUGAAGACAAGUUGAGACAGAGUGCACAUUCAUCAUCUUGGAUAAGCAGCGAUGGGCAGAUCCCAGUAUAGAAGAGGAGCAGCGCACGGUGGGAGAUGUCAACAUGUUCCCAACGGACCUCUCCUCAGCUGCGCUGGAGAUCAUGAUAGCAGAGGCAAGGGCACUGGGAAGGAGGUGACACACAUGGUGAUGCUAGUCAAAUGAAUGGGAAUUUAAUUGUACAAAUAGCAAUGUAUGUACAUU